AACAUGGCAGGAGGAAGACUGCAGCAUAACCUGAACGAAGCUGUCGACUUCCUCUCAAUUACUGGAGGAUUUUAGGAGCCAUGAAAAGCAGAAUUGGAGGGAGAAUUCCACAGCUUGGUACUUGCCAAGAGGUUCAUGGAUUGCCGAUUACCAAAGAGCGUGUGGACUAUUUAAGAGGAAAUUUAAAAGAGAUCAAUACUACUCCAGGCAAAGCGCCUCAGUGGCGUGAUCAAUAUGGUCUUGGCCCGCCACCUCGGUGGCCGCGAGUUCGGUUCUCGGACAUGAAACUGAGGGGUGAGAGAUGUGUAUUAUUGGUGACAGAAGUUCACUCUCGACGUGGUUGGGAAGUCGCGUAAAGCCGUUGGUCCCGUUGCUGAAUAAUCACUGGUUCCAUGCAACGUAAAAGCACCAUACAAACAAAAUACUCCAGGCAAGGGUCAAUGAAUUGUGAAGUCUAGGCUGACAAGCCAAGCACUGCGGCACUUUCAGCCGUUACAGUUUAAGACAAGUGGUUAAAGGAGCCAGAAAAAGAAAAAUGAGAAGUUCAUGGACCUUAAGGUGACGAUGGGAGAAAAGUCUAUAGUUACGCUAAGAAUUAAUAGUGAAGAGAGGUUGGACAGUAGAACUGAAGAAAUUCAGGAACGGAAGGAACGUUACUGGCUAAAAAAUGCACAGAAUAUUCAUCAAGUUCUCCACGUGAAGUCAGACAAAUUCUGGCACCCUUACUACCAUACAUGUGUGCUUCCAAGAAAAUUCCUCUCUAUAUGACACGAAACAAUAUGUUAAAUUCAUACAAGCACUCAAAAUAGAGGGACUACUGAAACUUCAUCAUACAAGUUCUUAAUCCAGUGCCAUACAGGUAUGUAAUGUUUAGAUAUUACCAAUAACUUUAACUUCCCAAAGUAACAUAGUUCAUUUGUUGUGUGUGUGUCAGUUGGCAAGAUUUUUGUGGCAACUAUUGAAAUAUUUCUUCCAAGAAGAUAUUUUCUUACAAAGUUGGUUUUUAGUAGUAUACUAUACAACAAAAACAGCAAAAUUUCAUCACCAAAACUGGAAAAUAGUAGAUGACAGUAAAUGUACAGUCAUCAGUUAGUUGUUGACUGGAGUCAUGGCUAAAAAAAAACAGGAAAACCUUUUAAUAAUUAGUAAAAUAAUAACCUAACGUCAAAAGUUACUUAGCUUGAUAUUGUAUAUAGCGUACAGGUUAUGGUGAUAAUAUUAAAUAAUGGAGAUGAAUAAAUUAAAAAAUUUUUUUAAAGAAUCUACUACAGAAGCCCUUAAUCUGUGCUAUUGCAGUUUAAUAAAAAGAAAGCAUCUAAAAAUAUUGUCAAAAGCCCAACUUAAAACCCUCCUUUUUAAAAGCUCCAGCUCCCAGCCUGACGAAAGAAUGCAGACCAAUUACACCAAAACUUAUACACUGCAACUGCAGUCAGUAUAUAUUUACUUGAAUCAAAGUAAAAAAUUCUUUAUGUACUGUUGAUAGAACACCAUGCAUCAGUGAGAGACAUGGCAAACAAAAUGUGGUACUAUAGUCAAGGCUACCAUGUUAGAGCCAAAGAAUGUUCUUUCUGCUGUUUAUAUAUGCAUUUAUACUUUAAUCAUAUGGAAAAGACUAGAAAACAGAAUGAGCAUCUAUAUUUGAGAAGCAAAUGAAAUCCCCCACACCUAUUGUGUAUUGGAUUGUUAUUGAAUAUUACCAUCAUAGCAUCCCCCUCUUCUGUGGAACUCCUCCAGUUAUAAGCUAUUUCCAGCCCAUUUGCUCUGCCUUUUACAGGAAC